AUUAGUGCAGUGAUGAAGCAAUAUUGUGGACUAGAGUUUCUGAUAUUGGGCUCUUCUUCCCAUUUUAUUUUGACGACAAACCCUUGGCUGUCUGAGCACUAUACCUUUCAUCUUAUUCAUAAGUUUUUCAACUCAGAGUUUAUUGUUUUUAAAAUUAGGUUGAGGGCUAAUGAUGAGAAAUACAAUUAUCUUAGUGGAUUUCAGUGAGAUUACUUGUAAUCAAUGAUCUGAUUGUUACACACACUGAAGCUCUUAGUAAUUUUUUUUAAUAAAAUGGGAUGUAAAUAAUAAUAAUAAUAAUAGCAGUGAUGAGGCAAAACACAUGAGGAUGUGUUUAGGGAAGUGGACAAUACAAUGGAAGUUGUGUUGCCGUGAUCCCCAAUUUAAACGACUUCUCCUUCCACUGAGCUUUUUUAUUUAUUUUCAUUCCAACUUUUAUACAAAUUUACAUGUUUUUUUUUCUAAUUUCUUUUACAUAUAUAAAGUUUUUAUUAGAUACGCGUCCAUUUUACCAAUUCUGGAGGAUAAGUUGGUUCCUCACGGUGUAAUGGCUCGGACGCCAUAUUAAUAUUUGUGGCCAUCCUGAUCAAUGGCUUCUCAGUACCAUUGCAUCCUGGAAACACCUCAUACAUUU
rnacentral:lncRNA from 1 species